GCGCUCCCUUCAGCAGCACAUAUACUACAAUUGGAAUGAUACAGCAAAGAUUAGCAUUAUCCCUGCUCAAAGAUGAUAUGUGAAUUUGGGAAGCGUUUCAUAUUUUU